AUGCUUGCAUCGGCAGCACAUAUGUUAAAAUUGGAAUGACACAGAGAUUAGCAUGGCCCCUGUGCAAGGACGACACAAAUUUAUGAAGAGUUCCACAUAUUUUU